UACGGGGGGGGGCAAGCGUUGUUCGGAAUUACUGGGCGUAAAGGGCUCGUAGGCGGCCAACUAAGUCCGACGUGAAAUCCCCAGGCUUAACCUGGGAACUGCGUCGGAUACUGGAUGGCUUGAAUCCGGGAGAGGGAUGCAGAAUUCCAGGUGUAGCGGUGAAAUGCGUAGAUAUCUGGAGGAAUACCGGUGGCGAAGGCGGCAUCCUGGACCGGCAUUGACGCUGAGGCACGAAAGCGUGGGGAGCAAACAGG
rnacentral:rRNA from 1 species